GUAUAUUACUGUUGGAUUAAUACUGACCAUUCCUGGGUCGAGUUGUAUGGUGUAUUCACUAUGUGGUGUUAUAUUAAACUUAUUGUGUCUGCUACACCCAGCGUCAUUUCAUUAUUCUGUGAUUUGUAACAAGAACCCAAUGUCACCACCACGCCUACAUUGAUAACCACAGCCACAUUCAUAACAUAUAAAAUAAACCGGUGACAUUUACUUUAUCUUUACUAAUGACUUUAAUCUAUAUCUAGUUUAUAUUGUUGUAACUGGACUGUUAUGCUGGUCAGUGUAACCCUAUGGGUAAUCAACCGACACAUGUGUCACAGGCCUGUGUACUUAAAAAGGACUGAUGUAAACAUUCUCCGUGUAGGUCAACAGUGUUUUUUGGUUAUCUGACUGAACUAUGUGUUGUUUAUAAGAAAGGUUGGGUCAAGUCUGGCGGACUGAGAGAGGAACAAGAAAGUUAAGGAAAAAGAACAUUCAUUUUUACAAGUUGUGUAUAGCUGUUAUAUUGAGACAUUGACUCCUUCCCAUUUGUAAAGUAUUUGAUUGUUUUCUCUUCAUUAUUUAUUACACUCAUUAAAGUGCCUCGUUAUAUCAGAGUCCAUGUUGUCUGGUUCUUGAAUUGGCCACAUUGUCUAGUCAAGGGUUUAUAGAGAAACGUAACAAUAUCUAUAUUUUAUAUAAUAAUAAUAGACCUAGACUCUUAUACUAUUCCUGUACACUAUACACUGAUUACACACUACAGAUUUAAUGUUUCUGAUGAGCAAUACUACUGUCUACAGCCAUUGCCCAUUAACAUAGGCCCUACUCUUGUACUAGAUCUAGCUCUUUUGAUAACAACUUAUAUCUUGCAUAUAUAUAAACAACUGUACUAGAUUAGACUAGACAUUCUAAUUGGUUAUAUUUUCUUUUUUCAUUAUUCUCAGACAUUCCAGUAGGUACCAAAUUGUGCUAUUAUUCACUGAAGAUCUAGAUCUUAACUUUUCUCUUAAUUACCAAAGAAGUACACAAAGUGUAACAUAAUAGUAUUAUAUGUACAUUUGCACACUAGCGCGUCAGUGCAACACCGCUUGUGUUUACGUAAUAAAUGAGUUCCUAAUAUGUCUUCCCCAUAGACAUAAAUAAAUAUAGACUGGCCGAUAAUAGAGUUUUAUGAAACGAAAAUUUGUGACUUGCAUUUCUGUGUACUUUAUUUAUGUCUAGGAGUUUUGCUUCUAAGACUGAAGAUCAUGCAAUUUUUCAAUUUUUCAGAAUUCGGAAAUAUGAAUACAAUAGAUAUACAUGUUUUCAAGUUACAUGAAGUUAUUUCCUUUUUCCAGUCUAUAUUUAUUUAUGUCUAUGGUCUUCCCUCUUAAACACUAGUUUGUUAUUUGUGUAAUGCAAAUAUUCUACACAAAGGAUGUUGAAUGGUACCCAAAGGGCUCUAAUUGCUACCAUUUAAUGUGUGGAUUCAAGUAUUUACCCAGAUACUGCCACAAUAUGUUCUUAUUGUUUUCAAAGGAGUUUGCACACAGUGCCAGAAGCUGUAUAAAUACAUUUAACAAUGUAUAUUUCAAGAAGAAAUGAUGCUUUCUUAUUCCUAAGAGUUUAUCAAUAGGAUGGAUGCCACAAAACUCACUUGUUAUGCCAGAAACUCUUCCUACGAAACUUCCAUACAAGAAUUUGUCCAGUGCCUGUGAUCCUCUGAGUUGAAGGAGAAUGUGCUCCAUAUUACCUACUAGGAGCUUGCUGAUAGCUGGAAGUUCAUGAAUACUAUGUUGUCCUUGAUUUGAUGAUUCUGAAAACUACCAUUUCUGAAGACUUGAGCAUUAUUUCUAUAAUUUAAAAAAAUCUUUUCAGGCAAUAUUGUGUUUAUAAUAUUAAGAAAGUAAAGAUAAUAUUGUUCUUACUAAUAUUAUUGACUUAUUAAAAUAGACAGCACAUCAUUACCAAUAUUCACUUGUCAAUAAAUGUUAGCAUUAUUCAAUUUUUAGUUACAUGUUCAGACUAUUAAAUUUUAUUAUUUAAAUUAUAGCAACUUUCUCUUUCAGUCAAGCUUAAGAUACAUUCCUGUAAAAAGUCUAUAAUAAUAAGUUAAAGUCGAUGUAGUAUUGUUCAGACACUUACAAGUUUAAUCAUCUAUACUUCACAAAAAAAAGUGUUUGAAUGGUUUUCAUUUGUUUGUACAUCAAAUCUGUAUUAAUAUAAUUAUCAUUUUUAAAUGAAACAUUAAAUACUGAAGAUGACCAUUUAAAUUUCUGAUGUAGGCCUAUUCUCAUUUCAUAAAACAAACAAAAUAUUAUCUGAAAUUUCAUCCCUUCAUUGUAACUGUAACUGGCUUCAUAAAAAAAUGGAGUGAUGACUGGGUUGACUAUACAUUUUUGUAUAAAUCAAUGAAUGUAGCUUAUACUGUUCUUUUCCUCGUCUUGAAAUGUGCGGACUGAUAAUUUGCUGUUGCAUUUUGUUUUCAUAAGUCAAUGACACAUGAUACUCUAAAUGACAAAUAUCUUCUACUCAUUACAAUAGCACAUUUCCAUGCUGUUUGUCUAAGUGGAAGCAGAUAAAAUUUGUUCCUCUAUUUGCUGUACAAUCUCAAAAUUCAUGAGCAGCUGAGAAAAAAAGAAAAGAAAUUCAAACUAGUUUAGACAUGUUAUAAAUAUAUAUAUAUUUGCUAAUAAAAAAUGUAAGAUUACUUUAUGUUACAACAAUGGACAGUAUCUUUAAAGCUGAUUUCAAUGCAAUCACAAGAAAUAAUUUUUUUCUCUACAAUUAGG